CAUUCCUCCCCCUUCUCCCCCGCAUUUCUCGCUCCCGAGAGCGGCGACGGCGUUCAGCGGCGGCUCGAGGCGCACCGGCCAUGGCGGCGCGGCGGCUGCGCUCGUCGGAGGAGGGUACAGCGGAGUCAUUCCCGCGCGCUUCUCCAUCGAGCGUGGCUCCGGCGCCCGUGCGCAUGGCACAUCAAGGGGGCAAGAGGGGCGCCGGCCACCGCGUCAUGAAGAAUAGUAGUGAUGCAUUCUCUUCCGACAUGCUCCAAAUGAUGGUUAUUUAGCAGGAUUGGUAAGACAAGCUUCUGGAGAUUGGUUUCUCAUGCAGCUCCUUGUGAUGUUGAAAUUAGUGCAUCGUUCAUUUCUUUCCUUGCUUCCUGUAACAGUGAACUACGGCAUAAGCUUCUCUGAGCAGCUUUUUAUGGUGUUUCCGUCCUUUAAUUUCCCAGCAAUUGUGUCAAAGUACCAACCUCAGAGUUGAAAGUGAGAGCCGCAGUUUUUUUUUCACGGAUCAAAUAGGAAUCACUACCACAGUACUGGCCUAACUUUCGUACUAAUGCCUAAAUCAACCGCCUGGGAAGAAGUAACAUCAUCCUUAUUUUCUAGGUGGACAAUUUUUUGACAUGCCAUAUUCUUUGUCGGGACAGCAAAAUUAUUUUCACAUGAGAACCUCACACAAAAUCGCUGUUUAAAUCAUUGUUGGAUGUUCCAUUCUUUGAUUAUUUUGAUACAUUCAAACUAAGAAUGAUGCAAGAAAAAAUCCUUCAUUGUUCUGGAGAGGUGUUGGAGGCUCUGAGCUGCAUAUUCUGAUAACAUAACUGUCAAUUCACUGAUGGGAUUACGCCAAAUACAUAAUAAGACCAAACACUGUUUCUACGAAUUAGCAUCAAGUUGCCAGGAGCAGUGAAGCGCCAAUAAUGUUCAACUAUGGUGCUUGAGGAGAUGGAUAUAAGCGUCGAGAAGGGAGCAGUGACGAAGCAGAGGUAGACGUGGACAUGUGCGGUAGGAGCCAAGGGGGGAACGGGGAAACGCGGACACGAGAUUCGUGAACCCAGAGAAGAGAAGGUAUGCGAUCUCGUCCACCUCGGCUGUGUCAGCCGCCGCCAGUGCCACCGUGUCCCGCCUCGCCUGGCCUGGUCGCAACAAAAAGUAUGACUGCAGGUGUGGUUCAUUCAGUUUUGCAGUUUGAUUUACUUGCUUGUGCGUGUGUGUGUGUGUGUGUGUGUACUAAGAGAGAGGGAGAGAUUAUUCUGCUCUAGCCAGUCGUAUUUCUGUGAUAAAUCUGCUCCCCUCCACUCCUUUUUUAUUUGCCUAAAAUCUGAACAUGAAAAGCAGUUACAAAUUGAGAGCAACAAAGUAAAUGUUCAAAAAUUUAGAGCCGUGCAUGCUUUUGAGAUUCAGAGGAGUGUAAGCUGGAAGAUGGGUUGCCAUGCUUUGUAAGUAUGAUUAGUUGGAGUACUAUUCCAUCCGAUGCCAGUGCAAAGUCGAAGUAGGCGCUGACGAAGGACGUUAGGGUCUGUUCUUCACAUCAACACUUCAUUGUCCAAACAGGCUGGCGCGUCGCCCUUGUUUUUUUUUCAUUUUUCAUUUUGUUUUUCCCUUCUCCAAAUUUCAAAAUGUUGCGAAUUUUGAAAAACAUGUUCGAGAAAUUAUAAACUGUUUGUGAAUUCAAAAAUAUGUGGGAAAUCAUAAAAAUUUCACAGUUUCAAAAAAUAUUAGUAAUUUUACAAAAUUGUUCGCAAAUUUAAAAAAAAUCACAAUUUGUAAAAAAAAUAUCCGCAAAUAAAACCAUGUUCCGGAUUUUGAAAAAAUAAUCAUGUAUUCGAAACAAAUUCGUGAAUCUGACAAAAAUGUCCAUCAAAUUAAGAGCUACCUUGCCAAGUGUCGCUUAGCAGAUGGUCUACACAGUACAACUAAAACCAAAAUAUUUUCUUAAAAAAAUUUGUGCAGAUUCAAGUAUUUUUUUCUAUAUUCAUAUCUUUCAAACCCAAGCUCUAAAUUUAGCACACUAUUUAUGAAAAUAGCUCAGAAAAGUUUGUAGUUCUAAAUAUGAUGUUAUCUUGCAUGUUAAUUAUUUUUAUGUGCACAAUUAAUUAGUACUUUUCCUUUUCUAUUAAACGCAUGGAUGUUUCUUACUCCCAUUUUUCGUACGUCACUUAUUAUCAGAUUUUCAUCCGUCGUUUGGUUCAUCCAUUUGCACAUAAAAU